AUUGAACGCUGGCGGCAGGCUUAACACAUGCAAGUCGAGCGGGGACUUCGGUCCUAGCGGCGAACGGGUGAGGAAUGCUUGGGAAUCUGCCCAGUAGCGGGGGAUAACGGUUCGAAAGGAACGCUAAUACCGCACACGCCCUACGGGGGAAAGGGGGGGAUCCUCGGACCUCUCACUAUUGGAUGAGCCAAAGUCGGAUUAGCUAGUGGGUGGGGUAAAGGCCCACCAAGGCGACGAUCCGUAGCUGGUCUGAGAGGAUGAUCAGCCACACUGGAACUGAGACACGGUCCAGACUCCUACGGGAGGCAGCAGUGGGGAAUAUUGGACAAUGGGCGAAAGCCUGAUCCAGCCAUGCCGCGUGUGUGAAGAAGGCCUUCGGGUUGUAAAGCACUUUAAGCGAGGAGGAAUGGCUGAGGGUUAAUAACCUUCAGCAGUGACGUUACUCGCAGAAUAAGCACCGGCUAACUCUGUGCCAGCCGCCGCAGUAAGAC
rnacentral:rRNA from 1 species